rnacentral:rRNA from 1 species
UACGUAGGGGGCAAGCGUUGUCCGGAAUCAUUGGGCGUAAAGCGCGUGUAGGCGGCCCGAUAAGUCCGCUGUGAAAGUCCAGGGCUCAACCCUGGGAUGCCGGUGGAUACUGUCGGGCUCGAGUCCGGAAGAGGAGUGUGGAAUUCCUGGUGUAGCGGUGAAAUGCGCAGAUAUCAGGAGGAACACCAUGGCGAAGGCAGCACUCUGGGACGUGACUGACGCUGAGACGCGAAAGCGUGGGGAGCAAACAGG